rnacentral:rRNA from 1 species
AGACGAAAGUAGGGGGAUCGAAGACGAUCAGAUACCGUCGUAGUCUCUACCGUAAACUAUGCCGACCAGGGAUCCGGAGAGUUUGCAUGGAUGACUCCCCGGGCACCUUGUGAGAAAUCAUAAGUGUUUGGGUUUUGGGGGGAGUAUGGUCGCAAGGCUGAAACUUAAAGGAAUUGACGGAAGGGCACCACCAGGAGUGGAACCUGCGGCUUAAUUUGACUCAACACGGGGAAACUUACGAGGUCAGGACACUGUGAGGAUUGACAGAUUGAAAGCUCUUUCUUGAUUCAGUGGGUGGUGGUGCAUGGCCGUUCUUAGUUGGUGGAGUGAUUUGUCUGGUUAAUUCCGUUAACGAACGAGACCUUAACCUGCUAAAUAGUCACGCGAACCGGUCCGCAAGGGCUCAAAGUUCGCGGCUCGACUUCUUAGAGGGACUAUUCGCACCCGCCAGCGAAUGGAAGUUUGAGGCAAUAACAGGUCUGUGAUGCCCUUAGAUGUUCUCGGCCGCACGCGCGUUACACUGCCGGAGUCAACGAGCGUUUUUCCUUGCCCGAUAGGGUUGGGUAACCUCCUGAAACUGCCGUCGUGAUGGGGAUAGAUCAUUGCAAUUAUUGAUCUUGAACGAGGAAUUCCUAGUAGGCGCGAGUCAUCAACUCGCGCCGAUUAGCGUCCCUGCC